UUGAACGCUGGCGGCAUGCUUUACACAUGCAAGUCGCACGGUUACAGGCCGCAAGGUGCUGACGAGUGGCGAACGGGUGAGUAAUGCAUCGGAACGUGCCCAGUCGUGGGGGAUAACUACUCGAAAGAGUAGCUAAUACCGCAUACGAUCUAUGGAUGAAAGCGGGGGACCGUAAGGCCUCGCGCGAUUGGAGCGGCCGAUGUCAGAUUAGGUAGUUGGUGGGGUAAAGGCUCACCAAGCCAACGAUCUGUAGCUGGUCUGAGAGGACAACCAGCCACACUGGGACUGAGACACGGCCCAGACUCCUACGGGAGGCAGCAGUGGGGAAUUUUGGACAAUGGGCGCAAGCCUGAUCCAGCAAUGCCGCGUGCAGGAAGAAGGCCUUCGGGUUGUAAACUGCUUUUGUACGGAACGAAACGGCUCUGGUUAAUACCCGGGGCUAAUGACGGUACCGUAAGAAUAAGCACCGGCUAACUACGUG
rnacentral:rRNA from 1 species